rnacentral:rRNA from 1 species
GUCAGCCUGCACUUGAAGGAGGCGAACAAGUUCCUCUGGCAACUCAAGCUGAAGGUGCCGCUGGGGGGCCUCAAGAGGAAGAGGAACCACUACAUUGAGGAUGGUGACUCGGGCAACCAUGAGAACUACAUCAACUAGCUCAACAAGAGGAUGAACUAUGUUGUUUGGCUUAUCAUCAUGGUCCCUUGUGUUCGAGCGAUGUUUUGUUUGUUAAGCACUUUAAGCAUUCUUUACAUCGGGAAGAAGUAG